GCAAGCUACUAAGGGCGCACGGCGGAUGCCUUGGGGCAAGGAGCCGAUGAAGGGCGUGGUAAGCUGCGAUAAGCCACGGGGAGCCGCAAACAGGCGUUGAUCCGUGGAUUCCCGAAUGGGGAAACCCGACCACCGAAUGGGUGGUCACCCACCGCUGAACCCAUAGGCGGUGUGGAGGGCACCCGGGGAACUGAAACAUCUUAGUACCCGGAGGAAAAGAAACCGAAUGGGAUUCCCUUAGUAGUGGCGAGCGAACGGGGAAGAGCCUAAACCUGCAUCGUGCCAAGCCUGCCGGCGUUGCGAUGCAGGGGUCGUGGGACCUGACCGAGAGGGCGGCAGACCUCUCAGGGAGUGACCAAACCUUUUCUUAGCAGAAGCUGCCUGGAACGGCACGCCAUAGAGGGUGAGAGCCCCGUAUGCGAAAAGAAAAGGUCUCCCGUCAGGCUCCCGAGUAGCGCGGGACACGAGGAACCCUGCGCGAAUCGGCCCGGACCACCGGGUAAGGCUAAACACUCCUUGCCACCGAUAGCGCAACCAGUACCGUGAGGGAAAGGUGAAAAGCACCCCGGCGAGGGGAGUGAAACAGAACCUGAAACCGUGCGCCUCCAAGCAGUCGGAGGGCUAUGCCCCGCAAGGGGAACAGCCUGACGGCGUGCCUUUUGCAGAAUGAGCCGGCGAGUUACGCUCAGCGGCAAGGUUAAGUGCCUCCGGCACGAAGCCGUAGCGAAAGCGAGUCCUCACAGGGCGACCCAGUCGCUGGGCGUAGACCCGAAACCGCGCGAUCUACCCCUGGUCAGGCUGAAGCCGUGGUAACACACGGUGGAGGGCCGAACCGGUGUCCGUUGAAAAGGGCUCGGAGGAACUGGGGGUAGUGUGGUGAAAUGCCAAUCGAGCGCGGAGAUAGCUGGUUCUCCCCGAAAUGCAUUGAGGUGCAGCCUCGCGCGCUAUGCUAUGCAGGUAGAGCCACUGGAUGGGCUAGGGGGCCCACCCGCUUACCGAACCCAACCAAACUCCGAAUGGCAUAGCAGGAAGCGCGGGAGUGAGACAGCGACGGAUGAGCGCCGUUGUCAAAAGGGAAACAGCCCAGACCGCCCGCUAAGGCCCCUAAGCACCAGCUCAGUGUGAAAGGAUGUAGGGUCGCGUAGACAGCCAGGAGGUUGGCUUAGAAGCAGCCAUCCUUUAAACAGUGCGUAAUAGCUGACUGGCCGAAUGUGACCCUGCGCCGACAAUGUAAGGGGGCUUAAGCUGGUCGCCGAAGCGGCGGGUUCCCGUAAGGGAGCGGUAGGGGAGCGUUCGGCACGCAGGGAAGGUGGAGCGGAAGCACCACUGGAGCGUGCCGAAGUGAGAAUGCCGGCACGAGUAGCGAGAAGACGGGUGAGAAUCCCGUCCGCCGAAAGCCUAAGGGUUCUUCAGGCAGGUUCGUCCGCUGAAGGUUAGGCGGUCCUAAGCCGAGGGCGAAACGCCGUAGGUGAAGGGCAGUGGGUCAACAUUCCCACCCCAGGUGGCGGAGCGCGAACGGGGACGCUGUAGAACGGGUCGGGCGCGGAGCUGGAAGGCCGCGCUCGCCGGUGAGGCAACGCACCGGCGACGAAGGAAGCCCUCGGGCAACCGAAGCGACCCCGACUGCAGCCGAGAAAAGCCGUUCCGCAAUGAAACCACCUGACCGUACCGCAAACCGACACAGGUAGGCGAGGCGAGGAGCCUCAGGCGCGCGAGAGAAGUCCCGCUAAGGAACUCGGCAAAUUGACCCCGUAACUUCGGGAGAAGGGGUGCCUCCCACCGUGUAGGCUGCAACGCCCAAGCGGUCGGAGGUCGCAGCAAAGAGGGCCUGGCGACUGUUUACCAAAAACACAGCUCUCUGCAAAGGGGUAAACCCGAUGUAUAGGGGGCGACGCUUGGCCAAUGCCCGUCGGUUAAGGGGAGGGGUCAGCCGCAAGGCAAAGCCCCAAACUGAAGCCCGGGUGAAUGCCGGCCGUAACUCUAACGGUCCUAUGGUAGCGAAAUUCCUUGUCGGGUAAAUUCCGACCCGCACGAAAAGCGUAACGACUGGGCCACUGUCUCAGCGGGACUCUCGGUGAAACUGUACUACCCGUGAAGAUGCGGGUUACCUGCGGUAGGACGGAAAGACCCUAUGGAGCUUUACUACAGCCUGAGAUUGCAUUUUGGCAGGUCAUGUAGAGCGUAGGUGGGAGCUUCGGCGCCAAUGGAACACCACCCUUGGCCUGCUGAAGUGCUAACCCGAACCGUGAACCGGUUCGGAGACAGUCUUAGGUGGGUAGUUUGACUGGGGCGGUCGCCUCCUAAACGGUAACGGAGGUGUCCAAAGGUCCGCUCAGCGCGGUCGGAAAUCGCGCGUCGAGUGCAAGGGCAUAAGCGGGCUUGACUGUGAGACCUACGGGUCGAGCAGAGGCGAAAGCCGGGCCUAGUGACCCUCUGGCUGUGCGUGGGCACGCCAGGGUUCAUCGGAUAAAAGCUACCCUAGGGAUAACAGGCUGAUCCUGCCCGAGCGUCCACAGCGACGGCGGGGUUUGGCACCUCGAUGUCGGCUCGUCGCAUCCUGGGGCUGAAGUCGGUCCCAAGGGUUGGGGGGUUCACCCAUUAAAGCGGCACGCGAGCUGGGUUCAGAACGUUAGCCCAAAAGGGCUUGGCGUCCCGCAGGAGUAAUCCUGCGGUGCCCACCGGCUCAUAUCGGUAGACCCCUCCUGCAGUCCACCGAACGCUGCAGAGGGCAAUACCGAGGGAAGAAUGGGAGCUGACGAUGAAGGACACUCUGAUUGGUAUCGUGCUGGGCGAUGGCUAUCUGGAACCACACGGGCGAGGCGUGCGACUACAAGUCAUCCACGCAGCACGCUUCAAACCAUAUGUCGAGUGGAAACGCUGCAAACUAAGAGAACUUCAGCCAUCCCCA
rnacentral:rRNA from 1 species